rnacentral:misc_RNA from 1 species
ACUAGGGUUAAGUUUAAGCCUGUUUGGUUGUGGAUGUAAUCGAGUCCUUGAGCCAGGUCGGCGGCGACCUGCAUUCGCGAAAUCCACGAUGAAAGAACCGUAAAGUUCGGAUUCCUCGCAUUGCGUAAACAAUCGGCGAGAUUCGCGCCGGCGAUGAAUUCGUAAACGAGGUAGAUAUGUUCUCCUGAUAGCGAAACGCCCAAUAAUUUGAUUACGCUCCUGUGGUGACCCCGGCAGAUGACUCCCAGAUGUUCUCUCAGCUGCGACAUUUCCA